rnacentral:rRNA from 1 species
AGAGUUUGAUCCUGGCUCAGAUUGAACGCUGGCGGCAGGCCUAACACAUGCAAGUCGAGCGGCAGCACGGGUACUUGUACCUGGUGGCGAGCGGCGGACGGGUGAGUAAUGCCUAGGAAUCUGCCUGGUAGUGGGGGAUAACGCUCGGAAACGGACGCUAAUACCGCAUACGUCCUACGGGAGAAAGCAGGGGACCUUCGGGCCUUGCGCUAUCAGAUGAGCCUAGGUCGGAUUAGCUAGUUGGUGAGGUAAUGGCUCACCAAGGCGACGAUCCGUAACUGGUCUGAGAGGAUGAUCAGUCACACUGGAACUGAGACACGGUCCAGACUCCUACGGGAGGCAGCAGUGGGGAAUAUUGGACAAUGGGCGAAAGCCUGAUCCAGCCAUGCCGCGUGUGUGAAGAAGGUCUUCGGAUUGUAAAGCACUUUAAGUUGGGAGGAAGGGCAGUUACCUAAUACGUAUCUGUUUGACGUACCG